GACUCGCCACACUUUGUCAGUCGUAGCGUCUGCGCAGGACCGUGAGGAGGACGCACACACGCACAGACACACACACAGACACGUGCCGUCCACCGUACGGACAGAGGACGUUCUUUCUAAUCUUUUGCUGAAAUGAGAACUGACACUGAGGGGAAAUCUUGUCAGAUUUUUUUUUACAGGAUUUAAUCGAUUUGAUGGAGAGGAUUUUACGCGCGGUUUCUAAGAAAAUGUUUACAAGGUCAUCACAAAGUUUGCAUCAACUCACAAACAAACAAGGAGGAGGAGAAGAAGAAGAACAAGAAGAAGAAGAAGAAGAAGAACUUAGGAGGCGAGAUGGAGUGUGAUGCGCCCUGCAGAUGGAAACAUACAGGGUGGGUGGUUUGAACCCAGAGACCUGCUGCAGCUCAUCAUCAUCAUCAUCAUGGCCGUGGGCGCUCAGCUCAGCUUCCCUCCCCUCCUCCUCCUCCUCCUCCUCCCGUGGAUCCCACCGCCAUGCAGGGCCCGGCCGGGUGCUGAACCAUCGGGGGCCCCAGUGAGGGUGUGAGUGGGCUGGGAUGGAUGAAUAAAGGCCCCUAAAGGCUGGAAUCA
rnacentral:lncRNA from 1 species